UGGAUCUAGAUGCUAUUUCAUCCCUUUGAGC
rnacentral:piRNA from 1 species